CACGUAGGGGGCGAGCGUUAUCCGGAUUCAUUGGGCGUAAAGCGCGCGCAGGCGGGCGUGCAAGCGCGACCUCUAAGGACGGGGCUCAACCCCGGCACGGGUCGCGGACUGCACGCCUCGGGUUCGGUAGGGGAGGUCGGAAUUCCCGGUGUAGCGGUGGAAUGCGCAGAUAUCGGGAGGAACACCGACGGCGAAGGCAGACCUCUGGGCCGCGACCGACGCUGAGGCGCGAAAGCCGGGGGAGCGAACA
rnacentral:rRNA from 1 species